AACGAACGCUGGCGGCGUGGCUAAGACAUGCAAGUCGUACGGCUAUGCUUAACCGUAUAGUCAGUGGCGAAAGGGUGAGGAAUAGAUAGGUAACGUACCCUGUGCAACCGGAAUAGCGUCGUUAGCAGCAAUGCUAACUACCGAAAGGGGCGGUAAUACCGGAUAAUGUUGUCGGUCGCAUGAUUGACAACCAAUGGAUUUAUCGGCACAGGAGCGGCCUUUCUCCUAUCAGCUUGUUGGUGAGGUAAUGGCUCACCAAGGCUAUGACGGGUACCAGGGUUGAGAGAUCGGCCUGGCACAUCGGAACUGAGACACUGUCCGGACCUCCACGGAGGGCUGCAGUAACGAAUAUUGGGCAAUGGGCGAAAGCCUGACCCAGCGACGCCGCGUGAAGGAUGAAGUCCCUCGGGAUGUAAACUUCUUUUAGGGUGCUGAAAGUCCGCAAGGAUUGAUCUAACCCAGAAAAAGUCACGGCUAACUCUGUG
rnacentral:rRNA from 1 species